AUACGGAGGGUGCAAGCGUUGUUCGGAAUUAUUGGGCGUAAAGCGCGUGUAGGCGGUUUGAUUAGUCUGAUGUGAAAGCCCUGGGCUCAACCCAGGAAGUGCAUUGGAAACUGUCAGACUUGAAUACGGGAGAGGGUAGUGGAAUUCCUAGUGUAGGAGUGAAAUCCGUAGAUAUUAGGAGGAACACCGGUGGCGAAGGCGGCUACCUGGACCGAUAUUGACGCUGAGACGCGAAAGCGAGGGUAGC
rnacentral:rRNA from 1 species